UACCAGCACCCCGAGUGGUCGGGACGGAUUAUUGGGCCUAAGCAAUCCGUAGCCGGUUUUACAAGUCCUCCGUUAAAUCCAGCUGCUUAACAGAUGGGCUGCGGAGGAUACUAUAAGACUAGGAGGCAGGAGAGGUAAGCGGUACUCAGUGGGUAGGGGUAAAAUCCGUUGAUCCAUUGAAGACCACCAGUGGCGAAGGCGGCUUGCCAGAAUGCGCUCGACGGUGAGGGAUGAAGCUGGGGGAGCAAACCGG
rnacentral:rRNA from 1 species